rnacentral:misc_RNA from 1 species
GUGCAUUUUCCAUUUGCAAAUCCAACCAUACAAUAAAAGCUUUCUGAUUAUGAUUCUAGAUUCAGAUACUCAAACUAAAAAUACAGAUGAGCUCUAUGUUUCUCACCAAGCAAAGAACGAUUAUAAGACACAGAUGCAUGGGAUCCCCACAUUUUUCCCUUCCGCCGACUCCUGCUAUGAACCAAAGUCCAAAGCCAUCAAAAAUAGCAGAACGAAAGUCUCCC